rnacentral:rRNA from 1 species
UACGUAGGGUGCAAGCGUUGUCCGGAAUUAUUGGGCGUAAAGGGUAGGUAGGUGGUCUCAUUUGUCUGGGGUGAAAGCCUUGAGCUUAACUCAAGAAGUGCCCCGGAAACGGUGAGACUGGAGUCCUGGAGAGGGUCGUGGAAUUCCCGGUGUAGCGGUGAAAUGCGUAGAGAUCGGGAGGAACACCAGAGGCGAAGGCGGCGACCUGGACAGGCACUGACACUCAACUACGAAAGCGUGGGGAGCAAACAGG